rnacentral:lncRNA from 1 species
GCCGGCUUCAGCUACCUGGAGGGCUCAGUGGAAGCCGACACCUCCCCAUGAUGCGGGGUAAAUGAGGUGCAGACGCCCCUCCCUCCCUGUGCCCCACACCUAGGGGGCAUCCUCCUCAGACCUUGGGCUGGGGCCGGGGUCCCUAGGAAACUGGCCUCCCUUUUAACACUAACCAGCUCGUGUGUACACAAGGGGUUGCCACCUGGGGGGGCCACAGGGUUCAACCCAAGGAUGUUUCCUCUGUCCUGUGGUAGUUUCAAAUUUUGGACAUUCCACUCGCAAAUCUGGAUUUCCUUCUCCUCAAGAGUCAGAAGCUCUGGCACUCCAGGCCCUUACCCUCUUGGCAGCAACUGGACGACCCGAUGUGUGGCGUCCCCUUAGGGCAGGCCUGGGCGCUCUGUUCCCACAGUCCCCGCAAACUCUUCACUGUGCCCCAUCUGGCCUGCCGGACCCUGUAGGCUGCCCGUUUGAGGACCCUGCUGGAGCAUCCAGGGUACAGAGGGUGGGUGACCUGACCAGUCCCCGGCUAGCCCAGGCAUUCUCACUCCUGUGCGGCUGCUCCCUCCACUGCCCCUGCAGCCUCUCACCAAGGAGGGACUUUGGGGUCCGGGUGAUGGAGGUGAGGUUAGCAAUGGCCUCUGGAAGGCUGGGGACCUGGCCACUGCCAAGAGCAGGAACAGCCAGAUGGUCCGUUCUGUGGUUGGGGGGCAUUAAGUCAAACUCACAUCCCCAGGCCCAGGUCCAGCGUCCAGGGCAGAGCUCUGGGAGCUUCUGAGGCUUUGCCACCACCAUGGUGGGGUGGCUUCCCCACCCUGUGGGUGCCCCCCAGGGAUCAGGCCACGCAGAGGGCUGGAGGCUUUGUCUCAGGCAAAGGGAGGGAGGUGUGCAGAGAAACCAGCUGGGGACGCGAGGGCUGGGCCUGGGCCUGUGGACAGAGGCAAGGGAAGACACCAGUGUCCCCAUCCCUGUGCUCCCCAGGGACAAGGCCCCACAGGGCUGGGCUCCUUCUCCUCCCCAGGGCUGACCACAGCUGCCAUGUUGUGUCCCCCAGCUCCUGUCAUGGCGGAUUGACACCGGCUGCUCUGGCACAGCUGCCACAGGCAGCACAGACAGGGUAGUGGUGGCCAGAGGUCCUGCUCAGGAUGGUCACCGGGGAUGGCCACAGGAAAGCCGCUCAGGAGCAAGCAUGGGCGUCGGCUCUUCUCAUUUCUCCCCAGGAUGUAGGCAGGCCAGCUGUGCACACUCCAGCAGAGCGGUUGAAGUUCCAUCGAGUCUUGAGGCUCAGUGCCAGGGGUCUUACUUUUUAACAGAAACUGCAGCGAGGCCGGCAGGAGGACGGGUGCACGGCUGCGGCCCCAACAGUGGGCUCCUGUGUGCCGACUGCAUUCAGCGCAGCUCCACACGCGGGGGUAAAUCCACGGGCUCUGCGGUUGCCUGGCCACAGGGACCAUAAAUUGUGACACUUGCGGUCAUGGAAGUGCCGAGUGAUAAAAACUCGACGUCACAAAGUGUCCUUAACCUGCUGCUGCCUCAUCUUUCUCAUUUGUGACUUGGUUAAAGAAAAUUUUUUUGUAACAGUUUCAGGCUCUUCUUUUUCGUUUCCUCAGUCUGCUGCAGAACCCCUUCAGUCAGGGAGGGAAAAGCAACCAAGCCAAUCUGGUCUCCUUGUUGGCACCUCUGUGAGGCCAGCUGGCUAGAGGGAGGGGGCCCGAUGGCGGAGGGAGAGGGCGAUGCUGGGGUCCCAGCAGCCCCCAAAGCAGGCGGGGCCCUCUCCUCGAAGAAGCUCACCUUUAACCUCCAAGCCCAGCCGACAGGCCCCCUGAUUGUGCAGUAGAUUACAAAUCGCACAAGAACCCAGAGCAGACAACAGACACAGGAGAAACACAGCCCUUGCCCCCAAAUCUGCGCUCCAUGAACCAGCUAUUUGGGGCCCAGAAGCUCCCAGGAACUGAAGUCUGAAGGUGGUGAGAAUCCAGGCAUGAGGCCAAGUCUGAGCUCCACUGGCUACUGGCCCGGGGACUUUGGGCAAGUCAUUUCUCUCUGAGCCUCAGUUUCCCCAGUUUGGAGAGAGUGGUGGCGGUAAACAAUAGCCCCAGCCUCACAAGGCCAAGCCGGGCAGGAGAUGCGCUAGAGUGCUCUGGCUCUGGCACAGGGUCUGCCCCCCCCGCCCUCCCCCCAGUCCCUGCAACUCACCAAGGAGGGGCUCCUCCGGUGGGGAAAGUGGCACAGGGGCAGAGAGACCAGAACCCCGCUCCCCACCCUUUUCCCGGGCAGCAUGGGAGACUGGUACCUUUGGGAGAGGUGCUCAGAGCUACAGGGUUGCGGCACUCCAAACGGGAGGGUCUGGCUUCACGGCUACCCCAGCUGGUUCAGGGACAGGCCUCCUCCCUUCAUCGGCAGAGCCCAGUGGGCACGGCAGCCCUCGAGAAUAACCCAGCCCAGAAACGGCCAAAGAGCCAGGGAAGGGGCCCCGCCUCUCACUCUGCUACCAGCUUCCAGGCGGUUCCCUUUCGCUGGACCGGGGCAUCCUCGCAGCCCAGUCCUGGACCCAGCUCUGCGUCCCUGACCUGCCACAGCUGGAAAAAAGAAAAAGAGAUAUUUGUUUUUAUUUAAUUUGUUUAUAAAAAGAAAAGUGUUUGUUACAGAAAAUUUGGAAAUACAGAAAAGCACAAAAAAGAAAACAAAAAUUACCCGUGAGAUAACUACCAGGUAUGUUUUCUUGAAGUCCUUCUGGUAUCUUUCCCAAACCAUAUACUAUAUGUACUAGACAUGUCUGUAUGAUCAUACUAUAGGUUAUUUCAGAUCCUUUUCGCUUAAUAUGUUGUGAGUAUUUUGUGUCAUUAAGUAUUAUUCUCUAUGGGAUUUGAAAAAUAAAAUCUAAAUAUCAACUAAUUUUUUAAAUCAACUUCACUGAGGUGUAAUUUCCAUGAAGAUCUCUUUCACUUGUGCUGUUCGACGAGUUUUGACACAUGCAUACCCCCAUGUAACCAGCACCACAAUCAAGAAAAAAAAUACGAUCACCACAAAAUGUCCCCUAGUCCCCCUUGCAGGCGGGCCCUACCUCCCAGGUCCCAGGCAGACACCCAUCUGAAUCCUACCACUGUAGAUUAGUUUUACCUUUAUUUAAUUUAACAUAAGCGGGAUCAGAGAGUAGGAUCUCUUGCUCAGCAUAACUGACACUCAUGGACGUCGCUGAGUCUCUCACCAGCCCACGCCUUAUUGUUUUACGGUAUCCCAUCGUAUGGCGCCCACAGUCUGUUUACCCACUCAUCUGUGGGUGGACAGUUGGGUUAUUUCUGAUGUUCUGGCUAUUGCGAACAGAACUUUGUGAAUGCUUUAAAUUUUUAACGAGCUGUGUCACUGGCACAGGUUGAGGUAGACCCACCGUGUGGGCGUGGUCCGUGUGUUUCCUGCCUGGAGCAUCGCGCUGAGUUCAUCCUGGGUGGGUUAUCACUUUUGCCACUGUUGUCAGACAUGUUGUCCCGUUGAAGUGUUUGCUACUGUAAAUCAUGCUGCUGGGAACAGCUUUAUCCUGACACUUCUACGUACGGCUGUGUUGCUUUCCUGAGGGUAAAUUCCCAUAAGCGUGUUAGGUCAAAGGGUGUCCAUGCAUUUAAGGUCCUUGACGCACCAGGUCAGGACUUCUAGGCAUGUUCCUAUCCAGAUUCCCCCCAUUUGCUUCUCAUAAGAAGGACAGGCAUCGUGACCCCCAUCGUUCAGAUGGGAAAAC